rnacentral:lncRNA from 1 species
GUGUAAGGUGGAGAUUGAAGAAACAAUGGAGAUGAGUAAGAAUAAUUAAAUGGUUUAAUUAUUUAUGGAAAGGAUUAAUUAAUAUGUUAAUUAAUCAAACGAAUAAGUUCGUUAAAGACCUCGGGAUAGUUUUGGACCUUAAGGCCCAAUGGGCUUCGAACGUCAAGCCCAUUAACUUAAGUUGUAUGACAACUUAAUGAAUAAUGAUUCACAAAGGCCCAAUUAGUCCAAAAAUAUCCCAAUGGCCGGCCAUAUUAGAGAUGGAGUGGGUUUUUGGACUUAUUUACAAGUUUUGCCACUCCAAUGAAUUAAGGUAUAAAUAUGACUUUAUAGCCAAAAUUCAUUAAGGGUUUCUUUGGAGAAAAUUGGUGAGAACUUGUCUCUCCUUUUCUCUCUAAAGAGGCCGGCCCCUUGGAGGGUGUAUCUAGCCAUACUAACUACUCCAAGGUCACUCAUUUCUUCUCCAAUCUAACCUUGGUGAAGAUACUUAGAGGUUCUCAAUUUUGGGAACUUGGAGAAACCUUUUCAUCCAUCCAAAUCCAUAGAUUUUAGAUGCAAGGAAUGAAGGCCCUCUCUUUGGGUGAUUAGCCUUUGCUUAUGCAAAGAGGAAUCUACAAAGUUAUGAUUUCAACUCACUUUGUUUUGAGUUGAGUUUUGGUUCACCAAUCUACUAGGCUUUGAAUUUCAUGGGUAAUGUUUUGUUUUUGAGUGCAUGCAAGCAUGAUUCCGCCUUUAAUUGUUAAUUGCAUGCUAUAUGAUGUUGCUCACAUGAACAUGUUUUCACAAAAUCAUCCUUCAAGUGGUAUCAGAGCCUAGGUCUAGUAGUUGGUGAAUCCUUUUGGGUUUUGUAGUUCAUAGUUUGUGAUUUAAAAGUUGUAAUAUGUUACAAGCUUUAUUCUUGUUUCUUUGAAUGUAAAUUUUGUUAGAAAAUUUUCCAUCUCAAAUGUUGUAGAUGUAGUUCAUAUGAGCAUGAAUAUUGGAGCUAAAAUUUGGUGCCAUGAUUUUGGGGAUUUUCGGCCAAAUCCAAAGGGUGGAUUUUUGGGUUCUUGUUUGACUUGUUAAAAGUGUUUUCAAGUAACGUUUGGAACCCCUAUGUACCCUAGUUUGGUUAUAUGUUAUGUACCUAAAGUUUGAAUGGUUUUGGGAUGUUUUUGGAGUAAAAAUAUUCAUGGAAAUUUUUGGGUUUUUCAUGAAUGUUCUUCAUUGUUCUUGACAUUUUUGCCAAGAACAAAAAGGUUUGUGUUUUGAUUCAAAGUUUUGAUUUAUUUCAUAAAGUUUAUGUUUUAUGUAUUUUCAAAUGUUUAAAUGUUUUAGAUAUUUGUUUAAAUGGUGUAAGAAUUAUUGGUGAGUGUGUAAGGAUUAAUUUCCUUUCACACACACCACUUGCACCACUUGAUUGCUUUAUGUCUAAACUACAAAUCAACACACACAUCACUCCCUUUCCUUCUCCAAAACGGGCCCUCCCUCAAGUGGGAGUACUUUUGGGGCUUUUAUGCAAUUACAUAAAGUUUUGAUACUUUUGUGUAUUUGCACUUUGGCCCAAAAGUUUACGUUUUUACGUUUAGGUCCAAAAAUGCUAAAGGACAAAUUGUUUUGCUCCUUUAAUGAAGUUUUUACAUUGUUUAAAUUUUGGGUUCUAGUGUAAUUAUAUGAAGUAGUGGACUUUUGUGUUCCUACAAAGUGACCCCAAAAGUUUAUGUUUUCGCAAUAUUGCCCAAAAAGUUGUGGUUAUUGCAUGAUGGCCCAAAUAGUUUGAGAACAAAAUUGUUUUGUCUCUUUAAAUGAGAAUUGGAUUUUCAUUUCAUUUAGCUCCAUUUAAAUCAAUUCUAUGGAUACAAAAACCAAAUGAAAAUGUUGCAUUCAAUUUAAUUAGUUAAAGCGUUAAUUAAUUAAAGGGUGAUUAUGAACCUAAGCCUAAUAUAAUUGAGCUAUGUGAUAGGCCGUUUCAAAUUUGUUUGAACCAUGGGAAUGUGUAGAUUAGAUUUUGGUUGUAAUUUGAUUUGAUCAAAUGUUGUAAAAGGGCAUAAGCUCUUCUUUACUUUAUAGUCCAUCAAUGAAUGCAAACCUUAUGUUAGUAGUAUCAUAUACUCUUGCUUUAAAAACCGUUUUAUAAGCAUAGUGGGAGUAUUAUAUACAACUAAAACAAUCAAAUGGACCAAUAGUUGUAAUAGGACCAAAAUUGUUUUAAUAUAGAUUAAAAUGAAUGUUUAUAUGUGAUGAGACCUAAAACCCUCAACCAAACCAUUAUUAAGUUGAUAAGCGUGAGAGUGCUUUGAACACUCUUUCGUGGCCUUCCACCGUGGUAAGCUCCAAUCGUUUAUGACUUGUACACCACCUUCACCCUAUCAUGGGGGAGUGCAAAGUGCAUGCUUAUACUCAGGAGGAGUCUAUAUACAUACUUGAUGAGGUGAGUGUAGGCAACGAGGAUGGCCAACAUCAUAUCAUUGUGAGGCUAUUCUUGAACCCCUUCAUGAACUAAGCAUGGUGGGAAUGACUUAACUAAGUGCAAUGGAGCCAAUAUCAUAUCAUUGUGAGGUUACAUUCUCUAGAGGCCAAAUAAGAUGGGUACUUGCAUUAGAUGCAAAUGAGUAAGCGUACUCUCUCAUUAUUAUUAAUGCUAGCCAACAUCAUAUCAUUGUGAGGUGGGCUUGGUAGUAGUGAGUCUCCCAUACCCUACUAAAAGUUUCCUCCAAAACUCUCGGAUUCCAAUGCGGGAUAUGGAAUUUGCCAAAAAUAGUGGGUGGUGCAAUUUGAUUUAAAGACCCGAAUCAAAUGGCUUAAAAUCAAUCAAUUUAUAUUCGUUAUGUAUUUGUUUACCAAUAUAUUUGCAAACGUUAUCCAAACUUGACAAAGAAAAGCUGAAUGCUUUAGUUUCCGGACUUGGUACAACAAUCCCAAAGAUUGUCUUAAAUGGAUUGUAGAAGUACCUAAGUAGUCUCUUCCUCACAAUGUUCUUAUUGAUAAUGUAUCAUUGGAAGAACAUGUUAGAUAAAGUCUAUCAUAAAGAGGACAACACUUUUAAUGUCAUAAUUCUUCAAUUACAAUUUGUUGUAUGAAGAAAUAAGAGUUGCUUUGAACAACCCUUAAUCAAUGCAAACAUUAGUGCUUGUUUCUUUGUUACAUGAACAAGGAACUUUAGAAGAAAGCACAAAGGCAUGGACACUCAAUGUGCCAUGAUUCUUCACUUACAAAUUGUUGUAUGAAGAAAUGAGAGUUGCCUUGUACAACUCUUGAAAGUUUGUAAUUAUGUUUAGAACAUAAUGGUUGGUUGACAAAAAUAGUCCAUUAACAUGGACUUAUGAUGAUUUUGAAUCAUUGAGUGUUGAAGUGAUAAACCACUUAACGAGACGGAAACUAGGCUAGGACUUCACCUUUAUGUCCCUAUCCUAAUGGUUCACUAAGUUUAUUGUAAACUAUGUUGUGAACAAUAACCACAUGCUCUCCAAAAUGUUUGAUGUGUAUAACACAAUUGAAAUAAGUUUCAAGAGAGAUAGUGGGAGUUUAGGGACCAUGACUAUUGUAGUCAAAGGAGAAGUCAAAUGAAGAAGAUAAAAUUAACUCCAAGGGAACAAACUUUUUUUAUGAAAGGAUGGACAUUGGAAGGGGUAUUUGCAAGAAAUGUCUUGCAAGUGUCAAGAACAGUUCAAAACAAAUUGGUUCUUCUACUUGAAUGCUUGAUUCCGUAUUAGUAACUAUGUUUUACAAUCGUUGUAAAAGUGUGACUAUUAAGAAGUAGAAGAAAUAUGAGAGAAGGAAAAGGUGCUUCACAUUCGGAACGUGAAUAAAAUAUAGAUCUCUGCGAAAGCAGAUAGUACUUACUUCCUCAUAUGAACUACCAAAGAAAUUGGAAAAACCAAAGAUUGUCUUUACAUUCCAAUUUUAAGGAAUUUAAUUCCGUCACUAUAGUAGAGAUGGAUAAAUGUUUUGUUUGACAAAACAUUGUUCUUUAUUAAUCAAUGAUUGGAUUAUAGUAAUCUAAUUGAUUGUCUCUAUAGUAGAGAAAAUAUGGUAGUGUUAACUGUUUAGAAUAUAAUGAUGCUUAAAACCCAAAAGGUUGCAAGUUAGUGACUAAUCCCAACUAAGUUGUGAUACCUCUAAAAACAUAAGUUACGAGUUGGUGAAAGAUGGAUGCUUUGGAUCAUUAGAUCCGGAUCCAAUACCUUCUUGUUAAAAUUGUAUAGAGGCGAAAUGUUCGAAUCUUUAUUCUUUUGGAAAGAAGAAAGAAUCACAAAGUUGUUGAGGUUAAUUCACUUAGAUGUUAGUGGCACUUGUCCACAACAUAAUCAUACUCAUGUUAUAUGACAUUCACCGAAGAUCACUCUCGGUUGGACUAUAGUUUGUUUUGAAUAAACACAAGUCCGAAUACUUUGUAAAAUGUUUCAAAGAAUUCAAGAAAUGUAAGUUGAUGAGUAAGACAUCUAAAGUAAUUACCUCCUUAGAUUUGAUCCAAGGAAAAGUAACACUUUAGAUGAGUUUCCUUGAUAGAUAUCAAGGAAAAUAGCAUCAUAAGAUAAUGAAUUUCUCCAUUAGGAGAAGAACGAACUCGAAUAAGGUUUGGUUCGUUAGAUGUUAUCUAUUACCCAUAUAUAGGAUAUAUAUACUUCUAAAACAAUAUGAUUGUCAAUUAGAAGAUCUUCCAAAAUUUUCAUAACUCCAUAAGAUGUAGUUGGAAAGAAAGACAAAUCUUAAGCAUGUUAAGAUUUGGGGUUGUGUGCUAAAAGCAAUAUUUGUUUGAUAACAAUCUUGUGGGAUAUCCUUAAAUUAACUUUUGGAUAUCACUUCUAUAAACCAACUAACAAAUGUUGUUUUGUUGAGUAGUUCAUUGUAAUCCUACAAUGUGAUUUGCCUAAGAGCAAAUGAACGAGAGAUAGAACUCAAAAGAAUAGGUUCUUUGUGAGACAAGAAAGUAAUCAACAAAUAUAACAACCUAGUUCCUAUACCAAAAGCUCCAAGGUAGUCGAGAAGGAUUUAUAAACCGUCUCAGUUGAAUGGUUUGAACUUUAUGACUAUGUCAUAGAGUUACACCUCUUAAUUCGAAAGAAAUAAGAAUGAAAAUCCUUAUGACUACAUUGAGUGUAUAUAUGAUAUAUACUACUCAAGGAAAUGGUAAAAUACCAUUUGACCCGAAAUAAUGAAACCUUCAUAAGCUAAUUGGUAGCUUAAGGUGACUACAAUCAAAGAGAAUGGUUGACUUCGAAGAAACCAUCUUUGAGAUAGUCUUGGUUUCAAUUAAUUCGAAAAUCGUUGGCUACAACUAAAUGGUAAUUCAAUGUUUGGACAUAAUAUGGGUUUCCGAAACCAUUAUUAAGAUAGUCUUAAUAACAUAUGUCUAAAACUAUGAAUCACAAGACAUGUAAGUUGUAGAGAUCCAUCCAUCAUGAAUCUUAGCAAGCUAGUGGGAGCUAUAAGCAUCUUGUGAGAAAAAGGAUCAAAUCGUUUGAUUUCUCAUAAAGAUGUAAAUGAAUCUUUUGUUUACUAGGUUUACAAAAGAUUAGUGGGAGUUAAUCAUGUUCCUAAAAUUUAAGUAUAUAUAUAUGAUAUAUUAAUUUUGGAAAUGAAAUGAAAACUUCUUGGUUAAAGUUAUGACUUUAAAACAUUAUAUGAAGAUAGAAUGUAUAUGGGAGUUAAUCAUGUUCCUAAAAUAUAAAUAUAUAUAUGAUAUAUUAAUUUUGGAAAUGAAAAGAAUACUUCUUCGUUAAAGUUAUGACUUUAAGCAUUCUAUAACGAUAGAAUGUAUAUGGGAGACAUAGUCUAUAAACAUGGGAUGGAAAUCUAUAAUGAUAGAUUUUAGGAUAUAAUUGGAUUAUAUCAACCCCUAAAUAAUAGACAAGAGAUGCUAGGAAGUUUCUCAUAUGAUGAUAAACUUCAAUCAAAUGGACAACUCUAGUAAGACUAAGAUGUUGCUCUUCUCAAAGAGAACGUACUCUUUGACUCCCAAAGAAAUAAUGCGUAAAUAGAAUCCUUUAUGCAUACGCAGAAAGGUGAUUUAUGUAUUUCAUAUUGUAUGAAAAACAUUGAUAUGAGUUGUACCUAGAACAGGUACAAGACGAUGUCAGUGCAAGCCCAGGAUCAGAACCAUGGCAACUGUCAAGUGAAUCCUUAAGUAUUUAAGAAAUACUAAAGGAUAAAUUCCUCAAAGAUCGAGGAAGAAUUAGAGUAACGUAAUGGAAGCGUAAAUGUAUUAGAUUGUGAAUCUAAUCCAUCAUUGGAUGUUUCUUCAUUAUGAAUGAAGAGAUAAACAGAUAUCUCUUUAUUAUAACUAAAGAGAUAUUUGGAUGGAAACAUUAAAGUAAUGACUUUAGUGUGUUCCGUUAUGAAUGCAAAAUAUAUUGCCAUAUAGAAGUUUACAACAAUGUUGUUUGGAUGGGAAAGUUCAUUUAUGAACUCUCUAUUCGGUUCCAACCAGAAAGCGUAUGACACUAAUGGGGCGAUAGCUCAAGCCAGGGAAUCAAGGUCUCAUCAAGGUCCGAACUUAAAUGAGAGACUGAACCACAUGAUUGAGAAUCAUGUAUAAUGGUGACGUCGUUAUUCUCAAGGUUGCUUCUAUGGAUAACAUAUAGAUAUCCAUUGUCUAGGCCUACUACUCAGCCAUUUAUGAAAUGACUACAUAAGAGGUAUCAUCACAGAUGAUCAAGCUGAUUGGCUCUAGUGCAAGUGGGAGAUUGUUGGAAAUGUGCCCUAAAACCAAUCAUGUGAUGAUACUUUACGGACAUUUCACAUGUUAAACUAAUCUAGUUUAAAUAUAAAGGGCAAAGAUUAUUGUUUGAGCCGUCUCAUAUAAAUGUUAUAUGCUUAAACGAUAAGUCCAAGGAAUAUGUGAUUGGAAGAAUACGAUCUAAAGAAGUUAGAUUCAUGAGACCAUUCUUUCGUAGACACAUCCUAAACGUUCCUCAUCAUGAUCAUUGCCAAUUGGGCAUUGACAGUCCGUUAAGAUCAGUACGUCCUUGUGUCUUCUCUCAGGGAGAGUGACUAGUCUCGAGUCAUUGGUGUGUGUGACAUCAAGACAAGUACGUAGGUGCUCAAUAGAGAAUGAGUUCACUGAACACGAUCAACGAAGAGUUUCAUAUCAUGUCAUGUCACAUGAGAACUCAUGGUUGGGAUAAUGCAAAAUAGUCCUUUGACCUGAGGCAUCACAGUUGUCUUGUGGUUAAGUCCUUGAUAUUUGAUUAUGUCAAAGUCACCCCAUCGGGGUGUCCACGGCAUCGUUGGGGUUAAGCCACUUAGCCAUGGAGACAAGUGAAUGCGCAACAAGGGAUCUCUAACCUUCAAACCGUUUGAGGGAGAAUACUCUAUGAUAUGAUUUAGAAUCUCUGGCGCCAGAGUAUGAAUGAGAUUUAGGAAGUCGUUCCAAAUCACAUUCAAGGUAAUCAUAUAAGCAGACGAAUCACAUUGGAUAGUAGACAUGAAUAAAUAUACUAUCAAACCAAACAAUGUGGUCAAGAGUAUUGUAUUAGAGAAAGACCGUAUUGCAUUUGUAGUCCUAAACUGAAUAGGUUCUCCACCUCCUCUGAUUAGCUUGGGUAACCAUGAUAUGCUGCUAGGUGUCACUCAUGGUUUGUGGAAGCCCUAAACGUGUAUAAUCACUAAAGGGAGAAUUGAAAGUAAGUUUCAAUUCACAAUCGAUUUGAAAUGGUUUUAAUCGCCCUCUGCCUCGCUAAAAGGAACCUAAUGGAUCGUACACCGUGUAAGGUGGAGAUUGAAGAAACAAUGGAGAUGAGUAACAAUAAUUAAAUGGUUUAAUUAUUUAUGGCAAGGAUUAAUUAAUAUGUUAAUUAAUCAAACGAAUAAGUUCGUUAAAGACCUCGGGAUAGUUUUGGACCUUAAGGCCCAAUGGGCUUCGAACGUCAAGCCCAUUAACUUAAGUUGUAUGACAACUUAAUGAAUAAUGAUUCACAAAGGCCCAAUUAGUCCAAAAAUAUCCC